rnacentral:rRNA from 1 species
GACAGAGGUCCCGAGCGUUAGGCGGAAUCACUGGGCUUAAAGCGUGUGUAGGCGGAUGCCUAAGUACCUUGUGAAAUCCCACGGCUCACCCGUGGAACUGCUUGGUAUACUGGGUGUCUUGAGCCAUUUAGGGGCUACCGGAACAAAUGGUGGAGCGGUGAAAUGCGUAGAUAUCAUUUGGAACGCCAAUGGUGAAAACAGGUAGCUGGGAGUGUGCUGACGCUGAGACACGAAAGCCAGGGGAGCAAACGGG